rnacentral:tRNA from 1 species
GCGGGCGUGGUGGAAUUGGUAGACACGCUAGACUUAGGAUCUAGUGCCGCGAGGUGUGAAGGUUCGAGUCCUUUCGCCCGCACCA